GCAAUUGCUGAGGAAAUCGUGACUGAGACAGGAAGUGCAUCUGCUCACUUGGGCCUAGUAUUUCAGUGUGUGAGUUUACUUUAUACCUUCCACAUCCCAUACCUAGUGGCCAUCUACACGGUAGUGGAAUCAAAUAUCCCCAUGUGGGAAGAUUUAUUUGUUUCCUCAAAGGAUACAGGAACCAAAAGGGAUCCAGUGGGGAAGAAAAGAGACUAGCUGCUAUCCUUCACGGAGCCAACAUUCUGCUGGGAGAGGCAAGAAAAAAUCCACAAAUGAAUAGAAAAAUAAAUAAGUAUAAUAAAAGUUCAGAGAGCGAUAAGACCUAUGUAGAAAAAAUGUUAUAAGGGCACAAUUACUGAGUGACAGAUGGAGUAGAAGAUGCUAGAUUAGAAAGGAAAGGCCUUCCGGAGGAAUUGGCAUUUGAGCUGAAAUAUGAAUGAAGUAAGAAAGUGAGCCAUCCAAAAACCUGGGGAAGAGUGUUCCAGACAGAGAGAAGAGAAAGUAGAAAGGCCUGAGGCAGGAGUGGGCUUGGCUUGCUCACAGAAAGCAUGAAGGUCAGUGAACAUGGUUCGAGCAAUAUGCGUGAGGAGGAGAGUGGGGUGACAUGAGCAAUAAGGAAUUAAGAAUGGGUCAAUGAAAUAUACAGCUCCUUUCUGGAAUGUACCUGUUCUGCUACAACCAUGGAUAUCCUGACCUUUCUGUGCCUUUCAGGGACAAGGGUAAUAGAGGAGUUUCAGACUCCCUCUAAAACAAAACAACAACUGAACAAUAAACAACAGAAAAAGAACACAAAA
rnacentral:lncRNA from 1 species